rnacentral:rRNA from 1 species
CCUACGGGUGGCAGCAGUGGGGGAUAUUGCACAAUGGGGGGAACCCUGAUGCAGCGACGCCGCGUGGGUGAAGAAGCGCCUCUGCGCGUAAAGCCCUGUCAGCAGGGGAGAAAAUGACGGUACCUGAAGAAGAAGCCCCGGCUAACUACGUGCCAGCAGCCGCGGUAAUACGUAGGGGGCAAGCGUUAUCCGGAUUUACUGGGUGUAAAGGGAGCGUAGGCGGGACUGCAAGUUGGGGGUAAAAUCUACCGGCUCAACCGGUAGCCGCAGUCGAAACUGCAGUUCUUGAGUGAAGUAGAGGCAGGCGGAAUGCCUGGUGUAGCGGUGAAAUGCGUAGAGAUUAGGAGGAACACCAGUGGCGAAGGCGGCCUGCUGGGCUUUAACUGACGCUGAGGCUCGAAAGUGUGGGGAGCAAACAGGAUUAGAUACCCUAGUAGUC